AACGCACAUUGCGCCCGCCAGCACUCUGGCGGGCAUGCCUGUUCGAGCGUCAUUUCAACCCUCGAGCCCCCCCGGGGGCCCGGCGUUGGGGGACGGCCCCGGCCGCCCCCGAAAUGCAGUGGCGACCUCGCCGCAGCCUCCCCUGCGUAGUAGCACACACCUCGCACCGGAGCGCGGAGACGGUCACGCCGUAAAACGCACCAGCUUUCAAGAGUUGACCUCGGAUCAGGUAGGAAUACCCGCUGAACUUAA
rnacentral:misc_RNA from 1 species